GUAGGCUGCAACUCGCCUACAUGAAGCUGGAGUUGCUAGUAAUCGCGAAUCAGAAUGUCGCGGUGAAUACGUUCCCGGGCCUUGUACACACCGCCCGUCACACCAUGAGAGCUGGUAACACCCGAAGUCCGUGAGGUAACCGUAAGGAGCCAGCGGCCGAAGGUGGGAUUAGUGAUUGGGGUGAAGUCGUAACAAGGUAGCCGUAGGAGAACCUGCGGCUGGAUCACCUCCUUUCUAAGGA
rnacentral:rRNA from 1 species